GUUGAAACAGUGGCUCCCGUACGAUCAUCGAAGUGAAGCAUCUUCGAGCCCGGUCAGUACAUAGGUGUGUGACCGUUUUUGAAUACCAGGUGCUGUAA